rnacentral:rRNA from 1 species
GAUGAACGCUAGCGACAGGCUUAACACAUGCAAGUCGAGGGGCAGCGGGGAGGUAGCAAUACUUCCGCCGGCGACCGGCGCACGGGUGAGUAACACGUAUGGAACCUGCCCGUAGCAGGGGGAUAAGCGGAAGAAAUUCCGUCUAAUACCGCGUAAUAACUCCGAGAGGCAUCUCAUGGAGUUUAAAGGGUAACACCGGCUACGGAUGGCCAUGCGGCGCAUUAGCUAGUUGGCGGGGUAACGGCCCACCAAGGCGACGAUGCGUAGGGGUUCUGAGAGGAAGGUCCCCCACAUUGGAACUGAGACACGGUCCAA